AAGAAAAGAAAGAAAAGAAAGGACAAAAAGAAGAAAAGGAGAAGAAAAUUUCAUUUUCUCUUUUCUUCUUCUUCUUCUCUUCCCUUCACCGCCAAGUUUGAAGACAUCCAAGUUCCCUUUAUUUUUUUUCUUUUUCCUUCUUCAAUUUGCAGAGAACUUCUAAGAGAGAGUUUGGAAGAAGAAGAGAAAUUUUACUAGAAUUUUUAGGUUGAAGAAGAGGAGGAGAACUCAAGCAAAGUGUAUCAAUGGCUUAAUUUUAGUUCAUUCUGCACAUCACUGGUUUUUAAUUCGGUUUGAACUCUUCAAAAGGAAUUAAGAGGGCAGUUGGUUUUCACUCGAAAUCAGGAGGUCUCUGGUUUUUCUUGUAUUUCAGAGUGUAUCGGUGGAGUUAGAAUUUCUAUUUGGAACAAGUUAAAGAGGUCGUGUGCACGCGAUUCUGGAAGUGGUUCUGUUUUGAGGGUUAUAUGUGUUUAUGCACGGGGAAUCAGAUUUAUAUGUCUUCAGGCCGAGAAGAAUUAAACCGAGCUUAUAGACCAAGGAUCUAGCCCAAGACUGCCGAGAAGAAUUAAACCGAGCUUAUAGACCAAUGAUCUAGCCCAAGACUAUCUUGAGCCUGAGGCUAGAGAUUACCAUGUGCACACUGGUUAGAUUCCGUUGUUGAUGUUGAGUGUACUCCGUAACAACGAUGCUGUCGUGAGUGCUGGGCAGGCCCCACUAUGACAAAGACGAUGGGAGUGCUGGGCGGGCCUUACUACAUCGUAGUUCUUGUAAAGGUAUUGAUCGACUUCCCGGUGCCUGAUAGACGUCCUUAGUCUGCGGAAGCUUCAUUAUCGAUUGCCAGCACGUGUUUUGAGUUGGGCAUAGAGUCUGUUGUGUUGUGAUGUAUAUACACCCUUGUAUGUUAUAGAUACUCAACAGUUUGUAUAAGCUUUAGGAGCUAUAGUUGUGUAAAUUUUGUUGGUUAUAUUUUGAUUAAGGUGUCUUUAGGUUUACUCGUGAAAUCGGUAAAUUUUGAGGUACACUUCAUGUAUGUGUUUGACUAGCUGUGUUUGACUAGCCUAGGAUCCGCUGUGUUUUGUGGCAUGUACAAUAGUUUAUAUACUAGAUUGGCAAGUUCAUCACAUGAAAGUUUUAAGCAGAGUCGACAGAUACAGGUACAGAAAAGCGUUGUUCGUCGGCUUCACGCCAUCUUUCUAUCUAAGGUAGCAGGUAGUCCGGGAGGGGGUGUGACACUCCACUUCAGGUCACGGUGAUAGGGGUUUGACGCUCAAGUUCACGGUCCCACGGCAAGUUCAUUUGGGAAUAACUCCCUUUACUUGGGUGGAUCUGUUGAGCGUGGACUCGAUAGAGGGGCAUAACCAAGUAUCAGGUAAGGGUACAGCGAGGGGCAGACCGACGAGGGGCAAGAAGGAUGCGUGAAGGCCAUAUGGAUGCGUCUGGUUUUCUUUAUGCUUCCGCUGAUGUAUUUUGUUAGAAUAUCUGGUUUUGUGAUUGUGAGUUUGAUGACUUGAGUAUUGUAUUUGAAACUCUCGUGACUGUGAUUUAGAAUACUCAGUAUGUACAUCAUCGAAAUCUUGCAAGGCAUAUCAAGUAUAUCAAAAUAUUUUAACCAA